rnacentral:rRNA from 1 species
GAUGAACGCUGGCGGCGUGCUUAACACAUGCAAGUCGAACGAACCUUCGGGUUAGUGGCGGACGGGUGAGUAACGCGUGAGAAUCUGCCCUCAGGAGGGGGAUAACGGCUGGAAACGGCCGCUAAUACCCCAUAUGCCGAGAGGUGAAAUGAAUUUCGCCUGAGGAUGAGCUCGCGUCUGAUUAGCUAGUUGGUGGGGUAAAGGCCUACCAAGGCUUCGAUCAGUAGCUGGUCUGAGAGGAUGAUCAGCCACACUGGGACUGAGACACGGCCCAGACUCCUACGGGAGGCAGCAGUGGGGAAUUUUCCGCAAUGGGCGAAAGCCUGACGGAGCAACGCCGCGUGAGGGAUGAAGGCCUCUGGGCUGUAAACCUCUUUUAUCAAGGAAGAAGAUCUGACGGUACUUGAUGAAUAAGCCACGGCUAAUUCCGUG